GAUGAACGCUAGCGGAAGGCAUAAUACAUGCAAGUCGAACGGAUGUAGCAAUACAUUAGUGGCGCACGGGUGCGUAACGCGUAUGCAACCUACCUUCAUCAGGGGGAUAACUACUCGAAAGGGUGGCUAACACCGCAUAAUACUACUGAAUGGCAUCAUGUGGUAGUUAAAUCUGAGGAGGAUGAAGAUGGGCAUUCGUCUGAUUAGCUAGUUGGUGUGGUAACGGCGCACCAAGGCGACGAUCAGUAGGGGAACUGAGAGGUUGGUCCCCCAUACUGGCACUGAGAUACGGGCCAGACUCCUACGGGAGGCAGCAGUAGGGAAUAUUGGUCAAUGGUGGGAACACUGAACCAGCCAUUCCGCGUGCAGGAAGAAGGGUCUCUGACUUGUAAACUGCUUUAGCAAGGGAAGAAAAAGCUCAUGCGUGAGAAAUUGACGGUACCUUGAGAAUAAGCACCGGCUAACUACGUGCCAGCCGCCGCAGUAAAAC
rnacentral:rRNA from 1 species